GUGCUCCUGCAGGAGCACAGAUACUAAAAUUAGAAAGAUACAGAGAGUAGCAUGGCUUCUGCGCAAGGAUGACUGCAAAUUCGUGAAGCAUUCCAUAUUUUU